rnacentral:rRNA from 1 species
UACGAAGGGUGCAAGCGUUACUCGGAAUUACUGGGCGUAAAGAGUGCGUAGGUGGUGCCCUAAGUCUGUUGUGAAAUCUCCCGGCUUAACUGGGAGGGUGCGGUGGAAACUGGGGUGCUUGAGUGUGGGAGAGGUAAGCGGAAUUCCUGGUGUAGCGGUGAAAUGCGUAGAUAUCAGGAGGAACACCGGUGGUGUAGACGGCUUACUGGACCACGACUGACACUGAGGCACGAAAGCGUGGGUAGCAAACAGG